CAGCCGCCGCGGGAAUACGAAGAGGGCUAGCGUUGCUCGGAAUUACUGGGCGUAAAGGCGCGUAGGCGGACAGUUUAGUCGGGGGUGAAAGCCCGGGGCUCAACCUCGGAAUUGCCUUCGAUACUGGCUGUCUUGAGUGUGAGAGAGGUGUGUGGAACUCCGAGUGUAGAGGUGAAAUUCGUAGAUAUUCGGAAGAACACCAGUGGCGAAGGCGACACACUGGCUCACUACUGACGCUGAGGCGCGAAAGCGUGGGGAGCAAACAGGAUUAGAGACCCGUGUAGUCCCUGUCUCUUAUACC
rnacentral:rRNA from 1 species